CGAUAAAAUGAAAAUUUGAUGAAAACACAAGUCUAAAGUUAGUCUUUGACAUGAUGUAUGAACGCUGCUUGGGGUAGUUCACCUUGUAUACACUUGUUAGCACUAGGUUGAUUUCCUGCUUAUACCUGCUAUGUGCUACUUUCAGUGGUGAACUCCUUCUUACAAUUGCUUAAAAUUGAUCAAAAAUGCUUAAAUGUCAUAUUUCGUUUCACUUGAUCAGUUUGAGCAUUUGCUAGCACUUGUACUUAUUGCUAUACACACAUGACAGCACCACCUAGAGCAUCUUUUCAAUCUGAUUGCUAUACUCCUGAAGCUUUUGUAUAUGUGCAUUUCUUGCAUUCAUAGCAUGUUUUGAGGGGGAGUUGCACUCCUUUGGGCAAAUCUUGAUAAGUGCAUGUGUCAACAAGGGGGAGAAAGUUACACACAAAAAGAGAGACAUGCAUUCAUUUGAGAGAGAUUGCAUUUGCUCAGGGGGAGUUGCAUUUGAGUUGCAUUGAAGUUGCUUUUGCUAGAUGUGUUGAGCCCGUUUGCCUCUUCUUGAGGGCUAGCUGUGUUUUACUUGGUUGUGUCGAGCCUUUGCCCAUGUCUUUGGGGACCAAGUUUUUGCCAAGUGUUGCUCACUUCAAAUGACCCUGUUUUGGUUUUCUCCGGCUUUUGGUCAUUUGGGUGAGUUCUUCCUUCCUCUUUCUCUAUUUUUUCUUUUGCUCAAGCUGUUCGUGUGAGGAUGUUGACAAUGCACUCAUCAAGGGGGAGAUUGCGAACACAAGGUCGAGAAGUACCCUUGUGGUACAUUUUGUGAUGAGUGAUUGUCAACGUGAUCCACGAAUAGGUUGAGUUGGUGACUAACAUUACCAUGGCGAAAGCUAUGUGUGCGAUAUGUCCCUUGGCUUGUGGUGUUCAGAUGUGGAGCUCGGACACAGUGGUCGACGGCGAGGAGAAGGUCAAGUAGAGACGUGCCGUGCCGAUGGACCUGGAGCGGUGAAGGGCGGACGUGAGGCUAGACUGACGGACCAGGAGGCCGGGUGACCGGCUGUAGUGGCUGACAUCUGGGACAUCGACAAGUGCAAGAGUACAUGGGAGUGACCGUGUUGACCAAGUCAGGACGGCGGACGCGAGUCGAGCGAGGCUCAGGAGGACUUAGCGGGCCGGCCGGCCGAGGACGGCGGUGACACGUGUCGAGUGGCGGGGAAGCGUAUGGAGUACGCUACUCGCGGCGGGUUUCGCGGGUUUGGGCCUCAAAACCCGGGCGGAGGUCCCGAUGCGGACGGAUGGCACGUGGCGGCAUCGGUGAUAUCGCUUCGGAGCGAGGCUACCGGUGAGAAGGCGCGGUGGCCGUCGGAUUUAGGUCAUGUCGAGUUGGACUAGAAUGCCCUUGGGGCUAGCUAGUUCGCUCAAAAAUAUCUAGGGACAUUUGGGAAAUAUAUAAUAUGCCUGAUAAAUAAACCGGAGGUUUUCCCUAUCCCCCUAAUCCUCUCCAUCUCUCUCUCUCAUUCCUGUCUUUCUGUCCGUAGACUCCUCCUCCUCCUUUCGUUUUUGUUAGUAGAAGGCUAUGAACUGAAAUUUUUAGGAGAGUUUUUGUACUGGAUUUUGAGUUGGGAAUGGAGGCCCAAAUCCUCCAGUUGUCCUCCGGGAUUCAUCACUUCUUCUUGUGAUUUUGUUUCUGUGCUGUGCUGUGUUCUUGUCUCCUUUUUCGUUCAUGGGUUCGAUCUCGAUUUCCCGGAGUUUGGGAUCAUCCCAGGCAAUAAUUUUUGGGGAAUAGGUUCGUGCUUUGGUGAAUUGCAUCUAUGCAAAAUUUGAGCUCAGUAGCUUUUGAAUCCAGAGAGAUCCAUUCCUUUUUGUGUUCGUUUCUUUUUGUGUUCUAGUGCUCGCGGCUCUGUCUAUUUUUCAGUUGUGUGUUCAGGUCCUGUGUUGUAGGCCUG
rnacentral:lncRNA from 1 species